rnacentral:lncRNA from 1 species
GACCACACAGAGUAGCAUUAUAACAGAACUUUCAAACAUAUCUAGUAUGAUAAAACAGCGCUGCUUUACCCCACAUACGCACGACCGGAAGCAGCGGAAGCGCUCGACUGUGGCAUAAUAAAAGCUCCGCUGCUUUACCCCAGAUACACACGACCGGAAGCAGGACUGGAUGGCAUAAUAAAAGCUCUGCUGCUUUACCCCAGAUACGCACGACCGGAAGCAGCGGAAGCGCUCGACUGUGGCAUAAUAAAAGCUCUGCUGCUUUACCCCACAUACGCACGACCGGAAGCAGCGGAAGCGCUCGACUGUGGCAUAAUAAAAGCUCUGCUGCUUUACCCCACAUACGCACGACCGGAAGCAGCGGAAGCGCUCGACUGUGGCAUAAUAAAAGCUCUGCUGCUUUACCCCACAUACGCACGACCGGAAGCAGCGGAAGCGCUCGACUGUGGCAUAAUAAAAGCUCUGCUGCUUUACCCCACAUACGCACGACCGGAAGCAGCGGAAGCGCUCGACUGUGGCAUAAUAAAAGCUCUGCUGCUUUACCCCACAUACGCACGACCGGAAGCAGCGGAAGCGCUCGACUGUGGCAUAAUAAAAGCUCUGCUGCUUUACCCCACAUACGCACGACCGGAAGCAGCGGAAGCGCUCGACUGUGGCAUAAUAAAAGCUCUGCUGCUUUACCCCACAUACGCACGACCGGAAGCAGCGGAAGCGCUCGACUGUGGCAUAAUAAAAGCUCUGCUGCUUUACCCCACAUACGCACGACCGGAAGCAGCGGAAGCGCUCGACUGUGGCAUAAUAAAAGCUCUGCUGCUUUACCCCACAUACGCACGACCGGAAGCAGCGGAAGCGCUCGACUGUGGCAUAAUAAAAGCUCUGCUGCUUUACCCCACAUACGCACGACCGGAAGCAGCGGAAGCGCUCGACUGUGGCAUAAUAAAAGCUCUGCUGCUUUACCCCACAUACGCACGACCGGAAGCAGCGGAAGCGCUCGACUGUGGCAUAAUAAAAGCUCUGCUGCUUUACCCCACAUACGCACGACCGGAAGCAGCGGAAGCGCUCGACUGUGGCAUAAUAAAAGCUCCGCUGCUUUCCAGCCGUGUGU